CUUUUUAAGAUGGGCUACAAGAAUGGCUGCCCUUAGUCCUGCUCCUGAGUUGUUGUGUGCGUUUCCUAGGCUGCCCUCUGGUGUGAUGUCUGUGUUGCCUGACACUUGUUGGAUGACUGCUGGGAGUUGUUGCUGUUACUACCCUGCUCCACUCACAGCUAAUGCUCGUUAAGCACUGCACCAACUUGCUCUGAUGUCUUGGAGCAGUGGGUAGGACACUCAGUUUCCAGCCAAGUGAAGAACAUACUUUGCAUCUCCGCUGAGUAACUGGAUAAAGGUUUGUCCUCAAAUCUGACAAUAAUGGAAAGGAUGGGUUUAAGUAUCUAAGAAGAAAGCUUUAAAAUAACUGAUUCCAAGAGCAUCUUCCCAUAGCAACAUGCUUUUAAAAAUAAUUGAGAGAGGUUAACAGAGAAUUGCUGCAUAAUUAUACAAAUAUGUCUUCAUCUUUUACCACUGGGUUCUUAAUCACAAAAGUGUGUUUCAGACAAGAAGCUGAAUCUCCUGCUCCAGGUAAGCUUAUGAAAAUAAGCAGGAGCCAGUGAAAUGCCUGGUCAGAAUAACUGUUUGACACUGAAUAAGGACAUCAUGAAUAGGUCAACGUCACUGUGAAACUAGCCCAACAAUCUCCCUCCUGCCUAGAGCCCAGGAAUAGUAUUGAAGCUAAUAAUCACACAGAGACUUUUAUCAAAAUCCAAAUGGCCAGGAACACUUGAUCCCUAUGGAAAUGAGCUGGAGAUAAGAAAUGUUCUGCCUCAGGUAUUUGGCAGGACUGCCAAGCUGCACAACAUGGAAGGCUUUUGCCAAGGUAGGUUUUGGCUUGCCGCCUAUCUCGUUCCAAACAGCCACGAAACUGGUGGAAGCCUUUGAUGUUCUGCCACGACACAGUCACAAGUGUGAACAAUUUACAUGUGCAGUCACCAGUCCAGACUUCUUUUUAAAUGGCAGUUGCUUUCAAUUCAUUGCCCAGUUGAUGAAUUCCUGUGGAAGAUGGCCGAACCUCUGGUAUGAAUGUUUGCCUGAAAAGAAGAAACACAGGUUUGCAAGGAAAAAACAGCCUCUUCCUUGCUGACCGAGGCCAUUGGCAUUGCUUGUUCUGCUGGCUGUCCAUCAGUGGACCAGACGAGUGGGUAUGGGUGAACAGAGAAAAGCCACAACAUAAGCUGCUCAUCAGUGACCCUCUGUUCUUCUAUCAGUACAAACAGAAGCCUUGUAUGGAUGAAAGUCUAAUUUCCCUUUCCCCUGUCAUUCUAUAGCAGAUUCCUCAGAUGCAGCUUCCUCACUGGGCAGCAGAGGAGAAAAAAAGGCUGGGCAAGUCUGCAGUGGGUCAUUUGGUGCAGUGUACUUGCCUCUCCACAGGUAACAUCCAGUUUGGGAUGGUGUUCUCAAGACUCACUGUUGUACCUUGAAGCUUGCUCCCAGCCCAUGUAAGCACAGACUCAUGACAAAACUGUCUGUACACUAGGUGAGCCUGAGUUUGCACACACAAUAUAGGAGCAGGCAUGCAAAGAAACACUCCUCACCGAGCAUGUCUCUUAUCCAGGUGUAAAGGAAAAAAAUUAUCAAGGGAAAAUAUUACAUGUGAAAAUAAGGUUCUUGAGUAUGGAUUCAAUUUUUAUUAAAUAUUCCAGUCAGGUCCUGCAAGAUUGGAAUUUGGUGAUUCAUACAUUUGAGGCAAUUAGGCUUUGAGUUGCCAUCCUUACAUUUAUUUGGAUAUUUUCUAUAGUAUAUACACGUGCUUCCACAGUUAGUCUGUAUGUAAGGUGUAAGUUAUCUGUCUGAGGACUCUCCCUGAGUCACUGAGUUCCUUCAGGGGGUCCUGAUUCCUUUCUUCUGAUAAUUCUUAAGGAAUAUCUUAGGUGCUUUCUGGUUUUUGCUUUAUCUUUAGAAACCCGGUUAUACAGUAAAAGUGACAGUAAGCAUCUGCAUGGAGCAGGUUGUGACUCCCAUUAUAGGUGAAAAUCCACCCAUCUUGCUCCUGAACUAAGUAUUGCUAUUCCAGUCACACUAUUUCUGUUAAGAAUCUGUCAGCAGCCUUAGAGGAGGAUGCAGAAAAUAUACAUAUAUUUGCACUAAGUGAGUUUUCAACAUCAGAUGUUUGGCUACCAUCUUAUGACCAAGGGAAUUUAAAAUGAAUGCUGUUAGAGCCUUUGGUCUUUUGAAGCAGAAAUCCAGCUCAAAGCCUGUUUAAUUUAAUUUAAUUGUUCAUUUAAUUUAAUUUAUUUAAUUCUAGUAUUUGAAGAUCUCUUUAGAAUAAAAAAGCCACUGGACUGACUUAAUUCCUACUUGAUUAUUCCUACUUGAUUACACUACAUUCCAUUAAGGUAUUCAAACAAUCUCUGUCUAAAAAUUAUGCACACUGUAGAACUUGUCUUAUGUAAGCACUCAUUAGGGGUUUUGCAUUGUUUUAAUGUAUACAUGCAGAGAAAAAGGCCUACAUUAAAACACCACGAAGAAUGCAAAAUUAAGCACUUGAAAGACAGAAAUUACACAAGGUAAAGUAGCUUGUGUAAAUCUAAUUUGGCCUCUCUGUGUGUUCACAUACUGCCUAUGUGUUAUACAUGCAUACAUAUAUAUAAGGUGUAUAAUAUUUAUGUAUGUACAGUAAGAAAAGCCUUUAAUUACAUGACUACCUACUGUUUUUUUCCACUGAGUGCUUGCUUUAUUCAGUGAACAGGAUAGACCUGCUUCACAUGUGGGUCACCUUACUGCAAAGAAGGCUGUUCCCUAUACAAGACUGUUUUGUUAAUUGUAGAGGUGGAUGACUCACAAAUGAGGUGGGAGACUGGAAGAAGAGUGUAAGGGGUGUCACUGUUUCUUCAGAGAAUUAAAUUCAUUACUUAGAAAGUCAAUGGUCUGGCUGCUGGCAGGUAUAGAAGUAUCUGGAAAAGCUCCUGAACCCCCCUCAAGAAAAAUGAUCAGGACAAGGUUAUGCAAUUUGAGUUGCUGGUCUGAGUGAACUUCACUCAUUUACCCGACUGUAAAGUAUGGGGUGCAUGGAGGAGCUGCUCUGCAGGCAGAUUGGAAGGGGAACUAAUUUCUAGCUAGGAAAUGGUCACAAGCAGCUGGUGGAUGUAAAUUCUUCUGGUGGCACUGCUGUGUCCAGAAUAUAACAUCUGUUCACAACCUGGACCAAGUUAGGGUAGAACUACCUUGGGUUUAUCUUUCUUACUGUACAGUCACUAACAGUCUACACCAGCUCAUUGUCUCCAUUGACCAAAUUCAUAAUCAUCUCAUUACAAAAGAAAACAAUAAAAAAAUGGCGGUGUGACAAAGUUUAUUUUUCUUAAAUCCAGGUUAACUGGAUUUAAUUAUCUUACCUAGUUUUAAUUCUUUACUAAUUCAUUGCUUCAUCAGCUAUUCCAUCAUUUUGCCCAAGAGUGAUGUCAGGCUUCUGUGUGUGUGAUGAAGAGUGAUGUCUCUUCCUCAAAACACCGUAUGAUGUUAUUCUAGUUGCAUUGGUCUCAUUCUGUGAGUGACUGCCUUGAGACUCUGGAGUCUGAUUUAUAAAAGCACUGCACAUUCACAGUUGCGAAUAGGAGCUGUGCUUUGAAAAUACGAAAUGCUGCACCACACUCAAGAAUGCUAAACUGCUAGGAGCUGCAAAUACUCAAAACUUCAUGGUUUUCACCUUAACCCAUCGCCUUUGAGUUUCCCAAUAUGAAAAGAAAGUAACCUUCCCCUUAUGGAGACACUGUGAAAAUAAAUGCAUUAAUAUCUGCAAAACACUUGGAUACUUCAUAAGGGAGAAUUAUAAGAAAUCCCAUGAGGACAUUAAUCAUUCGUUCUUGAGAGCAGGGUUUGAAGAUAGAUAGUGCAUUAAAUAAGUCAUGGGGCUCCAUACUGAACAAGAAGAAAACAAAAUAUUGAAUUGAUCCUCAUUAAGACCCAGAUUCUCAAAGGUAUUUUAAGUGCCUAAAUCCUGCUGAGAAUCAGGGCUUAAGUGGUCAUCUUUAUUUAUUUUUUUUUUUUACUUUUUUUUUUUUUUUUUACUGAAUAAGUCAGGGGAUUGCAAGAAAAAUUGUACAUAAUAGUGUAAUUAUAGGUUGCAUCAAAGUGCACUGUUAAUUAAAAGUUGCAUCAGAACACAGGUGCACAAGAUUUGGGGCACAAAUUAACAUUGCCCAAGCAAUCUGAUUUACAGCAUUUACCAGUGUUGGAUUGCUUGACUUUGCAACAUCUAUCAUCUUUUCCAAUAAUUAGUGUAUAACUAAUUUUCUCUGGUUUUGAGACAAUAAAUGAACCCACUCACAUUCCCCAUCACAUUCAUCCCCAGCAGACAAGGGAUGUGAACCCUUCCCCUGUUGCAUCCCUCCCCAUAUGGUGUACAGACCUCUGCCAGCAGAGUAAAUGACACAAGUAAUAGGUUGUCAUCUUCUAUUUGAAUCAGCAUCAGGGAGGGACAGAACAUUUUGCCAGUGAGUUUCACUAACACUUGCUGACAUCAGAAGAAUGGGGAAAGUCAGAUGUCUUUGGUUCAGUCAGGAUCAGAGGAGAACACAAUGAAAUAAGUACAGGCUUUUCCACCUGUUCCCUAAGUGGCUUAGUCCUUUUUAACAUUUUCAGCUUAUUCCUCUUUCUUUCUAUUUACCUUGCCUCACAUCUAGCUCUCACAGUACUCACCUGGCCCUCCUGAGCUGAAAAUCCCCUGCAAUAUCUGGAUAAAGCCCUGCACAUCCUGAUCUGACCUCAUAGCUGAUCUUGGUAUGAAAGGAGGUGGUGGGACUAGAGACCUCUUGAUCCUUUCCAACUUGGAAUACCAUGUGGCCUUAUGAAGACAUUGUGCUUUUCUCCAGAAUAUGAAUAGUCUGCAUUCCAAGAGGUGAUUUUAUUUAUCAAUCUGUGUACCAAGUAGCUUUGGUUUAUUGCACUGUCAUAAUUUCACCUCUACAGAACAGGAUAGCUUUAGACAAAAAAGGUAAGCAUAUAUCCCAUGAAACAAUAAAAUACAGCUAGUGCUGUUGUUACGUGGAAUGAGGUGGUUGCAUAAAUUCCACAUAAACCAGGAAUUUAACUAGGAGCUCUUCGAAGUACUGUGGUUGGCCUUCCGAGAAUCUGGAAAUGUUAACACUAAAGCUAAGGAAGCUUGAUUUUUAUUUCCACCCCCACCCCUCCUUCUCUUUGUAAACAUUUCUCUGGGUCCUGGCUUCAAAUCCUCUGAGCUGUGGCGGGGUGCUGACAGACGGGAUACCCAUUCUGCAAUGGAAGGCUUGCUCUGCAACUGGGCGAAGUUCACCAGUUUCCACUGCUGUCAUGUCCCCAGCUCCGAGGCUGCCCGCUCCCUGUUCCAGCAGGGGUCAAACUGCUCCUUUCAGAGGAAACCAAAGCCGUCUUUUCUGCUCCUCUUCCCCAAACUAUUGAGGAUCCAGGUUAUAAUGGUACGCAAUUUUCUUAAUGUAACUCUGUAAAUGUGUAAAAAAUACACCAAAGGACAUUGAUUCGUUCUCUUCUUAAAGGCAACUUCCCUUUUAAAUGCUAUCUUUUUUUUCCUAGUGAAGAAGCAUUGCAAAGAUCCUAUGUCUCCUCUCUGAGGUCAAAGGGACUGUUAGCGUCCCUUGCACAGGAGAGAGAAGCUCUCUUAACUAGAGAGAAGCUCUGUAAUCUUAGCUUCAUCAUUUACCCAUGUGUAGGAGCCACCAUGCAGAUGGAAUACCACUUUCGAGUCUAUCUCAUUUCCUCAUUCAAAACAAAACCAAUUUUCACAAGAAUAUGUAAAGACAUUUCUGUUAUUAUGGGAGGUAUUUUUCUGUGAAGUUUUGCCUCAGUAGUACUUAUUUCAUCAAAAAUUUAUUUCUUAACUACUACAAAUGUAUUUAUGUUUUUAUCCUCAACUUGCUUGUACUCAGAAAGAGUCUCUCGAGGAUCACCAUUUCAAGGAUGGGAGAACU